rnacentral:misc_RNA from 1 species
GAUGAAGAACGCAGCUAAAUGCGAUAAGUAAUGUGAAUUGCAGAAUUCAGUGAAUCAUCGAGUCUUUGAACGCACAUUGCGCCCCCUGGUAUUCCGGGGGGCAUGCCUGUCCGAGCGUCAUUGCUGCCCUCAAGCACGGCUUGUGUGUUGGGCCCCCGUCCCCGGUUUCCCCCGGGGACGGGCCCGAAAGGCAGCGGCGGCACCGCGUCCGGUCCUCGAGCGUAUGGGGCUUUGUCACCCGCUCUGUAGGCCCGGCCGGCGCCAGCCGACACCCAACUUUAUUUCUAAGGUUGACCUCGGAUCAGGUAGGGAUACCCGCUGAACUUAAGCAUAUCAAUAAGCGGAGGA